rnacentral:rRNA from 1 species
GGAUGCAAUCAUACCAGCACUAAAGCAUCGGAUCCCAUCAGAACUCCGUAGUUAAGCGUGCUUGGGCGAGAGUAGUACUAGGAUGGGUGACCUCCUGGGAAGUCCUCGUGUUGCAUUCC